rnacentral:tRNA from 1 species
GGAUUUGUGGCUCAGUGGUAGAGCGCUCACCUAGCAUGUGCAAGGCCCUGGGUUCGAUCCUCAGCACCA